rnacentral:misc_RNA from 1 species
ACAAAUCCAAUGCUUGUGGGGUGACUUUUAUAGUCAUCUUGCAAAUAUUAAUCCGCUGGCCUCGCAAGGGGCUGGUUGAUAGAUAACAUAAAUGUGUGUAGUGUUGACAGUGUGUGAUAUUUAAUUAAUUAUUGA